rnacentral:SRP_RNA from 1 species
CUCGCGGCCCGCCAACAGCGCACCUCGAACCCCGCCAGGCCCGGAAGGGAGCAACGGUAGAGGAAAGCGGGUGUGGUGGGCCACUUUGCU